rnacentral:lncRNA from 1 species
UUUUUAUUUUUAUUUUUUUGAAGAAACUCCAUACUGGUUUCUACUGUGGCUGCACCAGUUUUCAUUCCCAUCAACAGUGCUCAGGGGUCCCUUUCUCCACAUCCUCACCAGUGCUUGUUAUUUCUUGUCUUUAUGAUAAUAGCCAUUCUGACAGGUAUGAGAUGAUAUCUCAUUGUGAUUUUGAUUGCAUUUUCCUGACAAUUAGUGAUGCUGAGCAUCUUUCCAUGUGCCUGUUGGCCAUUUUCUUUGGAAAAAUAUCUCUUCAGAUCUUCUGCCCAUUUUUUAAUUGGAUUGUUGGCUCAUUUGCAAUUGAGAUAUAUCAGUUCUUUAUAUAUUUUGGAUGUUAGCCCCUUAUUGAAUAUAUGAUCUGAAAAAAUCUUCUCACAUUUAGAAGAUUGCCUUUUUUAUUUUGUUGAUGGUUUUCUUCACUUUGCAGAAGAUUUUUAGUUUGAUGUAGUCUCAUUUGUUUAUUUAUACUUUUGUUGCCAUUGCCUUUGGAGUCAGAGCCAAAAAAUAUAUUGCUAAGAGCUAUGUCAAGGAGCUAACUGCCUAUGUUUUCUUCUAGGAGUUUUACAGCUUCAAGUUUUACUUUCAAGUCUGUAAUCCAUUUUGAGUUGAUUUGUGUAUGUAGUGCAAAAUAGUGGACCAAUUUCAUUCUUUUGCAUGUGGCUAUCAGUUUUCCCAGCAUCUUUUAUCGAAGAUGCUAUUCCAUUGAUCUAUAUGUAUGUUGUGUGCCAAUACCAUACUGUUUGAUUACUAUAACUUUGCAGUAUAGUUUGAAAUCAGGGAGGGUGAUACAGCUUUGUUCUUCUUUCUCAAAAUUGCUUUGGCUAUUCGGGGUCUUUUGUGGUUCCAUACAAAUUUUAGAAUUCUUUGCUCUAGUUCUGUGAAAAAUGUCAUUGGAAUUUUGAUGAGGAUUGCAUUGAAUUUGUAGAUUGCUUUGGGUAGUAUGGACAUUUUAAGAAAAUUAAUUCUUAGAAUCCAUGAACAGAAAAUAUCUUUCCAUUUAUUUGUGCCUUCUUCAAUUUCUUUCACCAAUGUCUUAGAGUUUUCAAUGUACAGAUAUCUUCCUUGGUUAGAUUUAUUCCUAGGUAUUUUAUUCUUGUUCAUACCAUUCUAAAUGAGAUUGUUUUCUUAAUUUCUCUUUCUGAAAGUUCAUUAUUGUAUCUAGAAAUGCAAUCAAUUUCUAUAUAUUAAUUUUGUAUCUUACAACUUUACUGAAUUCAUUUAUUAAUUCUAAGGUUUUUGGAAGAGUCUUUAGGGUUUUCUAUAUUAAUAUAGAAUAAUAUAUAUAUUACAUAUAAUAUAUAAUUAUAAGUUUUUUGGCAUAGUCUUUAGGGUUUCCUAUAUUAUUUCCAUAUUAAUAUACAAUAAUAUAUAUUAUUCUAUAUUAUCAGGCCAUUUGCAAAUACUGACAAUUAUUGAGUGUGAUGUUUUCUGUGAGUUUGUUGUGUAUGCUCUGUACAAUGUUGAGCUAUGUUUACUCUAUCUUCACUUUGUUGGGAGUUUUUAUCAUACAUGGAUGUUGAAUUUUGUUAAAGGCUUUUUCUGUGUCUCUUGAGACAAUCAUAUGAUUUUUAUCCUUCCUUUUGUUUAUGUGAUGUAUCAUAUUGAAUGAUUUGCAGAUGUCAAACCAUCUUUACAUCCCUGGAAUAAAUCCCACUUGUUCAUGGUGUAUAAUCUUUUAAAUAUAUUAUUGAAUUCAGUUUUCUAAUAUUUUUUAGGAUUUACACAUCUCUGUUCAUCAGGGACAUUGGCCUAUAACUUUUUUGUAUCGUUCUUGUCUAGUUUCAAUAUCAGGAUAGUGCUGGCCUCCUAAAAUGAGUUUGGAAGCAUUUGCUUUUCUUCAAAUUUUUGGAAGAGUUUGAGAAGGAUCAGGAAUUAAAAAAGAAGAAGAAGAAGAAGAAGAAGAAGAAGAAGAAGAAGAAGAAGAAGAAAGUCAAAGUUGGUAAAUCUAAUUGUGGACAAGCUGCUUCCCAGGAUGAGCUGUAGACACAGCAGUUUCACUUUUGGAGUUAGCUACAACUCCCUGGAGGAACAUUUAUGACUAUCCAAGGAAUAUCAGCUGAAGCCACCAAAUAGGUAUGAAAGCUCUAUUGAGGCUGAAGGGACAUUUUUUUCUUACAGAGAAGUAAAAUAAUAGAUCAAAAUAAAGGAAAUAAACUCAUUUCUUAAAAAAAUAAAUAGCAGGUUUGUAUAUUUAUAUAUAUAUGAAAGACUGAGUACAUGUGAGAAGAAAACGAAUGUCAAUAAUCCAAGUAUAUAAUCAUCAAAAAAAAUGUACCUUUUCUUAGUGUUUCAAAUCCACUGAUUUGUUCUGGUUCCUCAGAUUCUUUUUUGAAGAAUCUUUUAAAAAAAUGUUAAUGCUAAUAAUUAGCCCUGGUUAAAAAAAACAGAAACAAAACAAAACAAAAAAAAACAUUAUUGUAAUACGCUAGUUACCAUGAAAGAAAAUAGCAACAAUUAGUUUGUCUUGCUUUGUUUUGUUUUGGUUUGAUUUUACCUUAAUUGAGUAUAUCAGUAUCAUUAAACACAAAAAUCUACUAUUUGGUUUGUGACCAGCAGAUGCUAAUCAUUUUACAUUCUUUAGCAAUGUUGUUUUAUCUACACAUACAAAUGCAUAUGCAAGUUAGCUUGGGAAGGGAAGAGGCAGGAAAUAAAUAUCUUUUUUUUUUUUAGGAAUUAAAUAUUUUGAACUGUUUACACUCAAGUAUAAAUGAAACAUUAAUAAACUAUGCCUAUGGUAAUAAUUUUGACCACUUUUACAUCAUUUUCAACUUUUAAAAAUAGCUUUUAAAGAUAUAAUCUGCUGAGAGCUAAGCCAUCAGGCUUUGCGAGUUUAUAUAUAAUAAGAAAUACAAAGUGUAAGGGAAUGAUCUUGGUUAGGGGAAACCUUUCAUGAUUAUUACUGCUACAGCAAAGUUUUCUCUUUUCAUAGGAUUUUAUAGUUUUCCAAUGACAUUUUAACUUUCUUUAGUUGAUUUCACAAUUGCCUGGGAGUUAGAGAAAAAAAAAUUAUUGCCCAUUAUUCUCUGAUAUUCAGAGGAAUUACAAAAUAGAUGAUUUUUCUGGGUUGCUAGAAAUGUUAUACACCUUAAUCAGAAUUGUAGUUGCAUGAAUGUAUACAUGUGUAAAGUUCCAUCAAGCUAUAUAUGCUUAUAGUUUGUGCAAAUUAUACCUUAAUAACAAUAUUAGAAAGCAAUAUGCUCAAAGUGACAAGUUGGGUGAACUAGAGAGGUUUUCAUAUACCAUGUACAACAUUUAAGUCCUAUUAAGGAGAUGGUCAGUAGAAGCUUCUUGCUAAAAUAAUAUAGCUAUUCAGUUAGAUAAAUAAAAUUUCACUGAAGUGGUAAGAAAUUUUACUUAUUAAACAAAAUGCAAAAUAAUUUCCUAGUCCAGUAGUCAAAGUCUACAUACUUUUUAGGAGUAAGAUGAUGUACAAAGUGCUUUCUUUGACUUUUUAAUGAAAUAUCCAAUUAUAUAAGUAGCUGCUCAAUUAAUAAAUAGAGCCAAAUUCAUUGUCCUCUUUCUUUCCUUGUGAUUUAGCCAUUCUAAUUCUUGCUCCAAUGGACCACAAAGUUGAUCAUGAAGCAACACUUAAUUAUUUUACCUACUUAAAUUACAUGAAUUUACCACUUAGUUAUUUAGAAUUAAUCUGGAGAAAUUUGGAGAAUAUAUUAGUCUUGGUAUGAUAAGGCAUCUGCAUGCAGGUUUAUGGUAGUGGGGGUAGAGAGAAGAGGGUGACAGACACUUCAUCAUUUACUUCCCUUUGGCUUUAUAUGGCAGAGGUUAUUUAAAACUCAAAUACAUUUUCUAGUGCCCAAGUUGACAUAUUUACUACAGCCCCAUUUUGCAAAAGAUUACAUAAGUAACUUGAGCACACAGAAAUAUUUCAGAGAUUACAGGGAUGCUGCCUAUGGCUGACUUGGGUUAUCAUGUUAAGUAUAUUCCAGCCACACCUAAGAUACAGAAGCUUCACAUAAAAACAUGCCUCGUAUAUUAUAAUGCCCACAGAUCUGAUAGGACUUGAAAACUGGAACUAAUGUAUUUUGACCAGGAUUAGCUCUCUUUAUGCACAACAUUACUUAGAGAGUAUUAGUGGUAUAUUCAGGCACAGUAUGGACAAUCUCAAAAAAUGAAGGAAGUGCCUGAUUCCUGGAUCAUAGAUAGCUCCUUCUUACGUGUAUCCUCAUUGGUGGAAGGGCAAAGGAUCUCCCAAUGGCUUCUUUUAUAAGGACACAAAUCCUGUUCAUGAGGUCUCUAGUCUCAUGACCUAAUAACUCCCAUAGGACCAACUAGGAGCACCCCCAUAGGAGUCCACCUUGGGAUUCUAAAGGUAAACUUAAUUCAGAUGCCUUGUAACCCUCUUAAGUAGAGAGCAAAAUUUUCAUCUUAAGGUAGUAUGUAUCUGGAAUUACUUAUUGAAUCCGCAUUGACAUUUUGUUAGGAAUUUCUUAUAGAAUGAAUUGUAAUACCUAGAGGUUAUUGAGCGUCCUUGAUUUUUUAUUAAUAAUUACAGAUCCUAACAAUCAAAGGACAGAAUAAAAUUAUGAUUUUUUUGUGGUUCACACAUACUAUCAUUUUUUUUGUUGGUGUGAUUUUUUUUAAAAGAUUUUAUUUAUUUAUUCAUGAGAGAUAGAGAGAGAGAGAGAGAGAGAGAGAGAGAGGCAGAGACACAGGCAGAGGGAGAAACGGGCUCAACGCAGGAAGCCUGACCUGGGACUCGAUUCUGGGUCUCCAGGAUCACACCCUGGACUGAAGGCAGCGCUAAACCGCUAAGCCACCUGGGGUGCCCUGUUGGUGUGAUUUAAAAUAAUUUUAGUUAAAUAAAUCAGACCUUCCUGCAAUUCUUUUGCUUCUCGUAGCAACAAAAAUAAAUGAAAGAUAUUUGUAUUAAUUAUUCCUUUAUAUAACUGAUGAGAUGUUAGCAUACACAGAGUUUUCUGCUAGAGAGAGCAAGCAGGGCAGGAUGACCGUCACAGAGCUAUGUCAUUGAGAGUAUCACACCUGAUGACUUUAACUUCAAUUUGCUACAUGUGCAUGUUGUAUGCAUGCACCCACAGCUUUGUUUUUGUCUCCUGCUGACCCUAUCAGAUAUCCUCUUUUGAGUCUUCUUCAAAAUUUUGGCAUGUUGAAACAUCCAUACAUUCAAGAGUAUAUCAACUAAAAGAGGAUUAAAUAGCAAUCCUGAGUUGAAUUAAAUAAGGAUUAUAUAUAGUAUUGGCAUCUGAAUUAACUUGGGCAUUUAUUUUUUUAUGCAAUAUUGUGAUGUGGCCUCUCUGCUUAGUGUUUCACUUCACAUAUGCUUAUGUAAAGUUUAGCAAAAAUAGACAAUUGUUUCUAACUUAGAACAUCAGAAUGAUAAACACUGUAAUAUACAGUUAGAAAUAUUAUUUUCUCCAAGGCAGAAAAACUUACUGGCAUAAACUCAAAAACUACAUUUCCUUGGCUUUUGUCUUAAAGUAGAACUGACAACCAUGAGUUAAGGAAAUAAUUACGGGAAAGGAUGCGGAGAAUAUAAACCAAGAGAGCCCAGACAUGUAAUACCUAUGAAUUACAACUUUGUGUGGUCAGCAUUUUUAUUUGUAGAGAUAGUCUGACUAUGUAUUAUCUGUACAUAAAUAAAUAUGGUCACAGUACAUGUAAAAUAUUUAUAAAUUACUUGUCAGAUGCAAGUACUUAUUUAUAUUUGAUUUUUACUGCUCCUAUCACUACACAAUCAAGGCACUUUAAGGAAAUUAAAAACACAAGUUAGUUCUAGCUGUAUCUAUAAUAAAUUCAACUUCAUAAAAAUAAUUAAUCCUGCAUCUGAAAUAUAAUUUUAGUAGAUUGACUUCCUUUUCUAAAUAAUAAAUAUAAGUAACCAGUGAAAUAUUGUUUAUAAGCAUCCAGGUUUAGGUGGUAGAUCACAACUGCAUCAUUUAAUUUCCCUCCCAUAGAAUUUAACAAAAUGAGAAAAACAAAACAAAACCAAAGCCAAUCAAAAAUGUUCACCCGCGGCCACAAAACAAGAACAAGAGAAUAACAUAAUGCAAUCUAAUAAACUAGUACAAAGAAAGAAACAAGGGUUUCCAGAGGGGAAGAAACAUGUACAAAAACAGAUCAGCUCCCAACCAUGUCCUCAUCCUCAGAAAAAGCUUGUAAAUACUCCUUAAUACCAUAUAAAUGGUGUAAAGAAAAUUCAAUCUUUUUCUUUUGAUUGAACACUAGUAGAAAGUGCUCCAGGGGAAAAGUGGAUGAAGUCAGGAAAAAUAAAUUCUAUGGUACCUCUGGUAGAAGUAAAGGCUCCAGGGUUACACAGUGAACGGAUCCUACCCGAUGGUACCUUCCACUAUGAAGAGUGACUCUAGAAUAGAGCUGGGCGCAGAGGGCAGAGGGGAGAGUAGAGCCCUGAGUUCUAAUAAAGAUUACAUGCCACUUCAUCUGGGCUAUCAUCUAUGCUUGGCCACCUCCCCUCCUCCCAACCAUCUGGCUACAGAAAAUUGACCAGAAUAAGAAAUAUUCAGUUUUUAGACUCUUGCUUGGAAGAACAAAAAGAUGGAUCCAGAAAAUACAAUGUUGGGCAUUUAAUUUUUAAGGUAGAUUAAGUGUUUGAACCCAGCCAUUCACAUGUAAACAAGAUGAAAAGAUACCAUCUUAAAAGAAAAUAUAAAUACCUUCUUUAAAAGUGGAAGAAAAUUCCUUGCAGUUGGUGCACUCUGUUAAAUGACUCAGUAAAAACACAAAUUCAGUAAAUCAGGCACUUAAAGACAAGACUUUGUUUCAGCUUUAAUACUCACCAUUAUUCUAAUGGAGGUCAGUGUACGUGUGGAUCAGCUCAUCUCCAGUCCUCUCUACAUUUCUAUGCUGAAUCAGCACCCACCUCCACAAUCUUAAAUUCCAAUAUUCUAUUCAGAUCACAACAAUGCUACCAAUCUGCAUUUCCACUAUUCUCAGUCUUCCAUUUCCAGCCUCUGCCUUUUCGCUAACCCAUCUUCCUCUCUGGCUCCAACCUCCUUCCCUAUCCAGUACAGAUCCUAUCAACUAUUACCCUAAUCACCUCUUGCCAACAACUCUAUUUCCCUAGAAAUAUUGUCUCUCUUGGUUUCUGUGAGUCCAUCCUUUCUUCAUUUUGCUCUCUGGUGUCUUCUGUACUAGAGCAUUUUUCCACCAUUAUUCCUAGAGGGGAGUCUUCCCUAGGAUUUCAUCUCUUCCUUCUUACUUCACCCUAUGUAUAAGUUUGCUUUUGUUGCUGUAACAAAAUGAUCACAAACUUAAAACACAUUUGUUCUUUUAUAGUUAUGAAGGUAAGAAGUCAAAACUGGUUUCAUCGGGCUAAAGUCAAAGUGUUAGUAAAAGCUGGUUUCUUCUGGAUUUUCUGAGGGAAGAAUUAGGGUUGUUGCUUUUUUUGUUUGUUUUCUUUGCUAGUUUCUAAUGAUCAGCUGUGUUUCUUAGCUUGUAGCUCUUCCUCCAUCUUCAGAGAGCAGAAUGUCAUUCUCUGUUUCCAUCAUCACAUUGUCUUCUCUGACUUUGAUUCCUUCUGAGUCUCUUUUAUAAGGAGCAUUAUAUCAGGCCCACCAGAUAACCCAGGAUAAUCCUAGUUUUAUCUUAAUCUUAAAGAUUCCUAAUUUAAUCACAUCUGCAAAGUCCUUUUUGCAUUUAAACUAAUAGUCACAGAUUCCAGGGAUUGGGAUGUAGAUAUAUUUGGAGAGGGGACAUUAUUCAGACUAUCAUACAAUCCACUGUUCCUGAGAUUUUAAUUCCAAAGUCUUUUAACUAUAACUCAUAUAUUAAAGAUUCUCUAAAUUAAUUUCGGCAAUUGAGACUUUUCUGCUAAGCAAUGGACCUCUCCAAUUCUUCCAUGUGAGUAUUCCAGACCCUUCAAAUUCAAAGUAUUCAAAUAGUUAUCAGUCUAUCCUUUAAAAAAUUGUCCUCUCCUUUUUCCAUAUAUUUAAAUUUUUCCAGGACGCCUACAUCAGGCUCAGCAGUUGAGCAUCUGCCUUUGGCCCAGGGCGUGAAGCUGGAGACUUGGAAUUGAGUCCCACAUCGGUCUCUCUGCAUGGAACCUGCUUCUCUCUCUGCCUCUGUCUCUUCCUCUCUCCUCUGUGUGUCUCUCAUGAAUGAAUGAAUAAAAUCUUCUAAAAAAUAAAAUAAAUAAACUUUUCCUUCAAUCUGCACCAGUUUCAUUAAGAUAGUUAAGGAACCCCAUUCUUCCACUUUACCUGCUUCCCCAAAAAGCCUCUCCAAUGUCCUCUGAGUAGGUUAAACUUUUUUAUUUUAUGCUAUCUAUAAACAUUAUAAGCAUUAUAAACCAUCCCAUCUAUAGUACUUAACACAUUAUAAUUU